rnacentral:tRNA from 1 species
GUGGGUACAGCUCAGUGGUAGAGCACAUGCUUAGCAUGCAGGAGGUGCUUGGGUUCAAUCCCCAGUACCUCCA